GCAAACUUGGUCAUUUAGAGGAAGUAAAAGUCGUAACAAGGUUUCCGUAGGUGAACCUGCGGAAGGAUCAUUACCGAGACGCAAGCCGCAAGGCUGAUGUUUCCGUCCUCAAUGUCAAACAAACAACGAAUGCUUUCGGCGGAGGUGUUGGUUCCUCAUGGAGCUGACCGCCGCCGGUCUUUUCUAAUCUGCGGAAUUUUGAAGUUCAGAAGAUUUGUUAAAUGAAUCAAAACUUUCAACAACGGAUCUCUUGGCUCUGGCAUCGAUGAAGAACGCAGC
rnacentral:misc_RNA from 1 species